GUCGGAUUGGUGUGAGUGUUGCACGCUGACUUUUCGUGUCAGAGGAGGUUUUAAACCAUCCGGUU
rnacentral:tRNA from 1 species